rnacentral:rRNA from 1 species
GACGUAGGGCGCGAGCGUUGUCCGGAUUUAUUGGGCGUAAAGAGCUCGUAGGCGGCUUGUCGCGUCGAAUGUGAAAACCCCGGGGCUCAACUCCGAGCUUGCAUUCGAUACGGGCAGGCUAGAGUUCGGUAGGGGAGACUGGAAUUCCUGGUGUAGCGGUGAAAUGCGCAGAUAUCAGGAGGAACACCGGUGGCGAAGGCGGGUCUCUGGGCCGAUACUGACGCUGAGGAGCGAAAGCGUGGGGAGCGAACAGG